GUGGUGCGGCAACGGUGGUGCGACGACAGUGGUGCGACAGCGGUGGUGCGGCAGCGGUGGUGCGGCAGCGGCGGUGCAGCAGCGGCGGUGCGACAACGGUGGUGCGACAGCGUGGCGUUCUCCAAUGGCAGCGGUGACACUCUCCAACAACAACGGUGGUGCUCUCCAACGCAGCAGUGGCAGUGUAGGAAGAUGGUUGAACGAGAGUGAAAAUUGAUUGUAGAGAAGAUGAGAAAUGCUUGAGAUGAGAGUAAAGAAAAAAUGAAGAAACUAAUUUGUGAGAGAGUAAAAUAUACUCUUCUGCGCAGAGAGAGGGGAAAAAAUGGGCGGGAAUUUUGCCGCUCUUUUUACCAACGGAUUUACCGAUGGAAUAAAUCCUUCGGUAAUUACCGAAGGACUUA
rnacentral:lncRNA from 1 species